GACGAACGCUGGCGGCGUGCUUAACACAUGCCAGUCGAACGGAAAGGCUCCAGCUUGCUGGAGUACACGAGUGGCGAACGGGUGAGUAACACGUGGGUAAUCUGCCCUGCACUCUGGGAUAAGCCUGGGAAACUGGGUCUAAUACUGGAUAUGACCUUUCUCCUUAUGGGGUUUGGUGGAAAGUUUUUCGGUGUAGGAUGAGCCCGCGGCCUAUCAGCUUGUUGGUGGGGUGAUGGCCUACCAAGGCGACGACGGGUAGCCGGCCUGAGAGGGUGAUCGGCCACAUUGGGACUGAGAUACGGCCCAGACUCCUACGGGAGGCAGCAGUGGGGAAUAUUGCACAAUGGGCGGAAGCCUGAUGCAGCGACGCCGCGUGAGGGAUGACGGCCUUCGGGUUGUAAACCUCUUUCAGCAGGGACGAAGCGUAAGUGACGGUACCUGCAGAAGAAGCACCGGCUAACUAUGUG
rnacentral:rRNA from 1 species